GAAGUAAAAAGUCGUAACAAGGUCUCCGUUGGUGAACCAGCGGAGGGAUCAUUACCGAGUUUACAACUCCCAAACCCCUGUGAACAUACCACUUGUUGCCUCGGCGGAUCAGCCCGCUCCCGGUAAAACGGGACGGCCCGCCAGAGGACCCCUAAACUCUGUUUCUAUAUGUAACUUCUGAGUAAAACCAUAAAUAAAUCAAAACUUUCAACAACGGAUCUCUUGGUUCUGGCAUCGAUGAAGAACGCAGCAAAAUGCGAUAAGUAAUGUGAAUUGCAGAAUUCAGUGAAUCAUCGAAUCUUUGAACGCACAUUGCGCCCGCCAGUAUUCUGGCGGGCAUGCCUGUUCGAGCGUCAUUUCAACCCUCAAGCACAGCUUGGUGUUGGGACUCGCGUUAAUUCGCGUUCCUCAAAUUGAUUGGCGGUCACGUCGAGCUUCCAUAGCGUAGUAGUAAAACCCUCGUUACUGGUAAUCGUCGCGGCCACGCCGUUAAACCCCAACUUCUGAAUGUGACCUCGGAUCAGGUAGAAAGCCCGG
rnacentral:rRNA from 1 species